GGGGGACAGGGUGACAGGUGGUGCAUGGUUGUCGUCAGCUCGUGUCGUGAGAUGUUGGGUUAAGUCCCGCAACGAGCGCAACCCUCGCCCCUAGUUGCCAGCAUUCAGUUGGGCACUCUAGGGGGACUGCCGGUGACAAACCGGAGGAAGGUGGGGAUGACGUCAAAUCAUCAUGCCCCUUAUGACCUGGGCUACACACGUGCUACAAUGGGCGGUACAAAGGGCUGCGAACCCGCGAGGGGGAGCGAAUCCCAAAAAGCCGCUCUCAGUUCGGAUUGCAGGCUGCAACUCGCCUGCAUGAAGCCGGAAUCGCUAGUAAUCGCGGAUCAGCAUGCCGCGGUGAAUACGUUCCCGGGCCUUGUACACACCGCCCGUCACACCACGAGAGCUUGCAACACCCGAAGUCGGUGAGGUAACCCGUAAGGGAGCCAGCCGCCGAAGGUGGGGCAAGUGAUUGGGGUGAAGUCGUAACAAGGUAGCCGUACCGGAAGGUGCGGCUGGAUCACCUCCU
rnacentral:rRNA from 1 species